rnacentral:rRNA from 1 species
AUUGAACGCUGGCGGCAGGCUUAACACAUGCAAGUCGAGCGGGGAAAGGUAGCUUGCUACCUGACCUAGCGGCGGACGGGCGAGUAAUGCUUAGGUAUCUGCCUAGUAGUGGGGGACAACAUCUCGAAAGGGAUGCUAAUACCGCAUACGUCCUACGGGUGAAAGCCGGGGACCUUCGGGCCUUGCGCUAAUAGAUGAGCCUAAGUCGGAUUAGCUAGUUGGUGGGGUAAAGGCCUACCAAGGCGACGAUCUGUAGCGGGUCUGAGAGGAUGAUCCGCCACACUGGGACUGAGACACGGCCCAAACUCCUACGGGGGGCAGCAGUAGGGAAUCUUGGGCAAUGGGCGGAAGUCUGAUCCAGCCAUGCCGCGUGUGUGAAGAAGGCCUUUGGGUUGUAAAGCACUGUAAGCGAGGAGGAGGCUACCGAGAUUAAUACUCUUGGAUAGUGGACGUUACUCGCAGAAUAAGCACCGGCUAACUCUGUG